rnacentral:rRNA from 1 species
UACGGGGGGGGCAAGCGUUGUUCGGAAUUACUGGGCGUAAAGGGCUCGUAGGCGGCCAACUAAGUCAGACGUGAAAUCCCUCGGCUUAACCGGGGAACUGCAUCUGAUACUGGAUGGCUUGAGUUCGGGAGAGGGAUGCGGAAUUCCAGGUGUAGCGGUGGAAUGCGUAGAUAUCGGGAGGAAUACCAGUGGCGAAAGCGACACCCUGGCAUUAGCCUGACGCUCAGGUGCGAAGGCGUGGGGAGCGAACGGG